UGCAUUCAGUGCCAUCGGGUAAGUGCCGGGCACUCUGGAAGGACUGCCAUCGACAAGAUGGAGGAAGGUGGGGAUGACGUCAAGUCAUCAUGGCCCUUAUGUCCAGGGCGACACACGUGCUACAAUGGCCGGCACAACGGGAAGCGAGUUCGCGAGGACGAGCGGAUCCCUCAAAGCCGGUCGCAGUUCGGAUUGAAGUCUGCAACUCGACUUCAUGAAGCUGGAAUCGCUAGUAAUCGUGGAUCAGCCAAGCCGCGGUGAAUACGUUCCCGGGCCUU
rnacentral:rRNA from 1 species